GGUGUCCACGGCAUAAUUGGGGUUAAGCCACUUAGUCAUGAAGGCAAGUGUAUGUGCAACAAGGAAUCUCUAAUCCUCGAUAAGAGAGGAAGAAUACUCUAAGAUAUGAUUCGGGAAUCUUCGGCCGAAGUAUCGAGCGUAUUGAAAGGAAAGUGUUCCUAUACGACUCAAAAGAAUCAUAUAUGAAGGAAUAAUCACAUUAGGGGUUUGACAUGAUAUAUCCAUACCCUAAUGAUGUGAUUGAGAGUAUUGUAUUAGAGAAGGAUUGAAUUACAUUGUAAUACCAACUGACUAGGUUCUUCGAAUAAACUUCUACAUUAGCUUGGGUAGCUAUGACAUAUGGUUAGAUGU
rnacentral:lncRNA from 1 species